rnacentral:rRNA from 1 species
AAAUUGAAGAGUUUGAUCAUGGCUCAGAUUGAACGCUGGCGGCAGGCCUAACACAUGCAAGUCGAGCGGUAACACAGAGAGCUUGCUCUCGGGUGACGAGCGGCGGACGGGUGAGUAAUGUCUGGGAAACUGCCUGAUGGAGGGGGAUAACUACUGGAAACGGUAGCUAAUACCGCAUAACGUCGCAAGACCAAAGUGGGGGACCUUCGGGCCUCAUGCCAUCAGAUGUGCCCAGAUGGGAUUAGCUAGUAGGUGGGGUAAUGGCUCACCUAGGCGACGAUCCCUAGCUGGUCUGAGAGGAUGACCAGCCACACUGGAACUGAGACACGGUCCAGACUCCUACGGGAGGCAGCAGUGGGGAAUAUUGCACAAUGGGCGCAAGCCUGAUGCAGCCAUGCCGCGUGUAUGAAGAAGGCCUUCGGGUUGUAAAGUACUUUCAGCGAGGAGGAAGGCGUUAAGGUUAAUAACCUUGGCGAUUGACGUUACUCGCAGAAGAAGCACCGGCUAACUCCGUGCCAGCAGCCGCGGUAAUACGGAGGGUGCAAGCGUUAAUCGGAAUUACUGGGCGUAAAGCGCACGCAGGCGGUCUGUCAAGUCGGAUGUGAAAUCCCCGGGCUCAACCUGGGAACUGCAUUCGAAACUGGCAGGCUAGAGUCUUGUAGAGGGGGUAGAAUUCCAGGUGUAGCGGUGAAAUGCGUAGAGAUCUGGAGGAAUACCGGUGGCGAAGGCGGCCCCCUGGACAAAGACUGACGCUCAGGUGCGAAAGCGUGGGGAGCAAACAGGAUUAGAUACCCUGGUAGUCCACGCCGUAAACGAUGUCGACUUGGAGGUUGUGCCCUUGAGGCGUGGCUUCCGGAGCUAACGCGUUAAGUCGACCGCCUGGGGAGUACGGCCGCAAGGUUAAAACUCAAAUGAAUUGACGGGGGCCCGCACAAGCGGUGGAGCAUGUGGUUUAAUUCGAUGCAACGCGAAGAACCUUACCUACUCUUGACAUCCAGAGAACUUAGCAGAGAUGCUUUGGUGCCUUCGGGAACUCUGAGACAGGUGCUGCAUGGCUGUCGUCAGCUCGUGUUGUGAAAUGUUGGGUUAAGUCCCGCAACGAGCGCAACCCUUAUCCUUUGUUGCCAGCGGUCCGGCCGGGAACUCAAAGGAGACUGCCAGUGAUAAACUGGAGGAAGGUGGGGAUGACGUCAAGUCAUCAUGGCCCUUACGAGUAGGGCUACACACGUGCUACAAUGGCAUAUACAAAGAGAAGCGACCUCGCGAGAGCAAGCGGACCUCAUAAAGUAUGUCGUAGUCCGGAUUGGAGUCUGCAACUCGACUCCAUGAAGUCGGAAUCGCUAGUAAUCGUAGAUCAGAAUGCUACGGUGAAUACGUUCCCGGGCCUUGUACACACCGCCCGUCACACCAUGGGAGUGGGUUGCAAAAGAAGUAGGUAGCUUAACCUUCGGGAGGGCGCUUACCACUUUGUGAUUCAUGACUGGGGUGAAGUCGUAACAAGGUAACCGUAGGGGAACCUGCGGUUGGAUCACCUCCUUACCUUAAAGAA